GGGUGUGGCAGACCCCUGGGCUAACAGGCCAAGGAAAGAACCUCAAUGGCGCCCACCUGGGUCCAUGCUAGCACACUUGGCCCAGGUCAGAACGAUGAUCCCCACCAAUGUCUCAGUCCCUGGAGAAGCCUCCCCUCUCACCAAGAUGCCACCAGAGCCCAAUAGAGGGUGUGCUCUCUCAGAGAGCAGAAGCCAAGUCUAAGCUGUGUCUGGACAACGCCUAGUAGUGUCCCAGCAGAUUCUUUGGGAACACGACAUCUGCGUUUUUCCAAGCCCUUACCUACAGAAAGGCGCCUAUUUUCCGUUACGGUAGAUCUGGCCUGAACUUCACUGCCUUGCAAGGGCGGGGUGGGCCAGGGCUGGCCAGGAUAUCUGCCAACAAGAGACACCUGGGCGCCGUAGUUGCUGGAGAAGCCCCUGGGACCCCAGGACGCAGCAAAUCCAAACUGGAACUGACUGUCGCCAAUUUUCCGACGCUGCCUCAGAGUGUUUUGAGGGGUGGGCUCCCUCCACCCAAGAAGAUGUGCAGGUGGUUGGGGCCAGGCCACAACUCCACAAGGUC
rnacentral:lncRNA from 1 species